ACCAGUAUCACUUGGUGUGCUCACUUGGAAUUAUGUAGAGAAGAUUAGCAUGGCCCCUGUGCAAGGAUGACCAAUAUCACUUGCCAACGCUGGAACUGAAA
ensembl:snRNA U6 U6 spliceosomal RNA